CCUACGGGAGGCAGCAGUGGGGAAUUUUGGACAAUGGGCGCAAGCCUGAUCCAGCAAUGCCGCGUGAGUGAAGAAGGCCUUCGGGUUGUAAAGCUCUUUUGUCAGGGAAGAAACGGUGGGGGCUAAUAUCCCCUGCUAAUGACGGUACCUGAAGAAUAAGCACCGGCUAACUACGUGCCAGCAGCCGCGGUAAUACGUAGGGUGCAAGCGUUAAUCGGAAUUACUGGGCGUAAAGCGUGCGCAGGCGGUUUUGUAAGUUUGUCGUGAAAUCCCCGGGCUCAACCUGGGAAUGGCGAUGAAGACUGCAAGGCUAGAAUCUGGCAGAGGGGGGUAGAAUUCCACGUGUAGCAGUGAAAUGCGUAGAGAUGUGGAGGAACACCGAUGGCGAAGGCAGCCCCCUGGGUCAAGAUUGACGCUCAUGCACGAAAGCGUGGGGAGCAAACAGGAUUAGAUACCCUGGUAGUCCACGCCCUAAACGAUGUCUACUAGUUGUCGGGUUUUAAUUAACUUGGUAACGCAGCUAACGCGUGAAGUAGACCGCCUGGGGAGUACGGUCGCAAGNUUAAAACUCAAAGGAAUUGACGG
rnacentral:rRNA from 1 species